ACUCUGAAGACAUGAAAAUUGAAAACAUUUCACAGAAUCACAGAAAGGACAAGGUUGGAAGGGACCUCUGAAAUCAUCCAGUCCAACUCCCUGCCUUGCAGGAUCAUCUAGAUCACAUUGCACAGGAUGGCAUCUGGGCAUGUUUUGAAUAUCGCCAGAGAAGGAGACUCCACAACCUCUCUGGGCAAACUGUUCCAGUGCUCUGUCACCCAGAUCAUCCCUUUUUCCUGAGUUCUGUGAAAGGAAAGUAUAUUUCUUAGAUUUUAUUAAAUUAUUUAUUUAUUUAUUUUUUAAUAUAAGUGCUCAUUUGGAAAAAGCUAUUGAUGCUAAUGAGUAUUUCUUCCAGAAAUGGGAAGGUUGAAAAAUCUUUUUGUGAAGGAAAUUCAGGAUGAACAACGACCUUCUAAAACAGGAGUGAAUUUGAUUGUCUUUUUUUAAAGCCUGCUACCAGUGAUAUCCUAGAAAUAAUUAGUCUAAACCAGUCUCAUUUGCUUUCAGUCCACUUUUACGGUACAUUCAACACCUCAAAGUCAAGCUGAUCAUGAUCACCAACUCCAGUGAAGCUGCCUGUACCAUGAGGACAAGCUUACCAGUGGCCUCCAACCCAAAUGCACGUGCAUGGCUCCCAGUCUUGGUAGCUGCAUUGCUCCAGGGACUUCUCCAUCAAAGCAGCAACAGGACAACCUAUCACCUCUGCUGGUGCCAGGUGAACCUUGGCCCCAUAUACAAGAGAGGAGUUGGUGGAAGGACAAUUUCAGUACACUUGGGUGAUGACCAGACUGCCCUGCUUUAAGCCAAA
rnacentral:lncRNA from 1 species